AGAGUUUGAUCCUGGCUCAGGACGAACGCUGGCGGCGUGCCUUAUACAUGCAAGUCGAACGGUGAAGGAGGAGCUUGUUUCUCUGGGUGGGUUGCGGACGGAUGGGUAAGUAAUAUGUCACAUGCCUGGUAGCAAUGGAUAAUAAUUGGAAAAGAUAGCUAAUACCGCAUAAGAGUCUCUGUUGAGUGACAUUUACUAACUUCGGGCCUUGGCAUCACUACCCGAUGGAUAUGCGUUGAAUUAGCUGGUGGGGGGAGGAACGGCUCACCCAGGCAACAAUACCUAGCCUACCUGAAAGGUCGAUCGGCCAGGCUGGGACUGACGCACCGCCCACAUUCCGACGGGAGGCAUGGGUAAAUAAUCUUCAGGGAUGGACGGCAGUCUGACCCAUGCACGCCGCCUGAGUGAAGAAUGUUUUCGGAUCAGAAAUUUCUGUUGGAAGAAAAAAACGAGUGUGAAAAUGGAAAGUUCACACUGUGACCGUAUCUUACCAGAAAGGGACGGCUAACUACGUGCCCGCCGCCGCGGUAAUACGUGCGUCCCGAGCGUUGUCCGGAUUUAUUGGGCGUAAAGCGAGCGCGGCCGUUAGAUAAGUCUGAAAUUAAAGGCUGUGGCUUAACCAACUGACGCUUUGGAAACUGUUUAACUUGAGUGCAAAGGAGAGAGUGUAAUUCCAUGUGUAGCGAUGAAAUGCGUAUAUGAUGGAGGAACACCGGUGGCGAAGCUCUCUCUGGCUUGUAACUGACGCUGACGCUCGAAAGCGUGGGAGCAAGAUGAUUAGAUACCCUGUCAUCCCCCUCACAAACGAUGAUUGCUGGUGUUAGACCCUUUUCCUUGGUUUAGUGCGUACUAACGCAAUAAGCACUCCGGCUGGGCAGUACGACCACUAAGGACUAAAAUCAAAUGAAUUGACAGGCGGCCCACCCAAGCGAUGGAGGGAUGUAGAUUUAAUUCUAAGCAACGCAAACUACUUAGUCAUGUCUUGGCAUCCCAUCUGACCGCAUCCAGAAGAAUGCUUCUGUAAGA
rnacentral:rRNA from 1 species